GAUGAACGCUGGCGGCGUGCCUAAUACAUGCAAGUCGAGCGAACGGACGAGAAGCUUGCUUUUCUGAUGUUAGCGGCGGACGGGUGAGUAACACGUGGAUAACCUACCUAUAAGACUGGGAUAACUUCGGGAAACCGGAGCUAAUACCGGAUAAUAUUUUGAACCGCAUGGUUCAAAAGUGAAAGACGGUCUUGCUGUCACUUAUAGAUGGAUCCGCGCUGCAUUAGCUAGUUGGUAAGGUAACGGCUUACCAAGGCAACGAUGCAUAGCCGACCUGAGAGGGUGAUCGGCCACACUGGAACUGAGACACGGUCCAGACUCCUACGGGAGGCAGCAGUAGGGAAUCUUCCGCAAUGGGCGAAAGCCUGACGGAGCAACGCCGCGUGAGUGAUGAAGGUCUUCGGAGCGUAAAACUCUGUUAUUAGGGAAGAACAUAUGUGUAAGUAACUGUGCACAUCUGGACGGUACCUAAUCAGAAAGCCACGGCGAACGACG
rnacentral:rRNA from 1 species